rnacentral:rRNA from 1 species
GCAUAUCAAUAAGCGGAGGAAAAGAAACCAACAGGGAUUGCCUUAGUAACGGCGAGUGAAGCGGCAAAAGCUCAAAUUUGAAAUCUGGCACCUUCGGUGUCCGAGUUGUAAUUUGAAGAAGGAAGGUUUAUGGGUCUUGUCUAUGUUCCUUGGAAUAGGACGUCACAGAGGGUGAGAAUCCCGUGCGAUGAGAUUCCGUAUUGUAAUCUUCCUUCGAAGAGUCGAGUUGUUUGGGAAUGCAGCUCUAAGUGGGUGGUAAAUUCCAUCUAAAGCUAAAUAUUGGCGAGAGACCGAUAGCGAACAAGUACAGUGAUGGAAAGAUGAAAAGAACUUUGAAAAGAGAGUGAAAAAGUACGUGAAAUUGUUGAAAGGGAAGGAUUUGAGAUCAGACUUGGUAUUUUGCAACCUUACUCUCGUGGUGGGGCCCCUGCAGUUUACUGGGCCAGCAUCAGUUUGGAUGAUGGGAUAAUGACUUUGGAAUGUGAUUCUGCUUCGGUGGAGUGUUAUAGCCAUUGUUGAUACCGUCUAUCUAGACUGAGGACUGCGUCUUUGACAAGGAUGUUGGCAUAAUGAUCUUAAAUCACCCGUCUUGAAACACGGACC